rnacentral:rRNA from 1 species
AGAGUUUGAUCAUGGCUCAGAUUGAACGCUGGCGGCAGGCCUAACACAUGCAAGUCGAACGGUAACAGGAAGAAGCUUGCUUCUUUGCUGACGAGUGGCGGACGGGUGAGUAAUGUCUGGGAAACUGCCUGAUGGAGGGGGAUAACUACUGGAAACGGUAGCUAAUACCGCAUAACGUCGCAAGACCAAAGAGGGGGACCUUCGGGCCUCUUGCCAUCGGAUGUGCCCAGAUGGGAUUAGCUUGUUGGUGGGGUAACGGCUCACCAAGGCGACGAUCCCUAGCUGGUCUGAGAGGAUGACCAGCCACACUGGAACUGAGACACGGUCCAGACUCCUACGGGAGGCAGCAGUGGGGAAUAUUGCACAAUGGGCGCAAGCCUGAUGCAGCCAUGCCGCGUGUAUGAAGAAGGCCUUCGGGUUGUAAAGUACUUUCAGCGGGGAGGAAGGGAGUAAAGUUAAUACCUUUGCUCAUUGACGUUACCCGCAGAAGAAGCACCGGCUAACUCCGUGCCAGCAGCCGCGGUAAUACGGAGGGUGCAAGCGUUAAUCGGAAUUACUGGGCGUAAAGCGCACGCAGGCGGUUUGUUAAGUCAGAUGUGAAAUCCCCGGGCUCAACCUGGGAACUGCAUCUGAUACUGGCAAGCUUGAGUCUCGUAGAGGGGGGUAGAAUUCCAGGUGUAGCGGUGAAAUGCGUAGAGAUCUGGAGGAAUACC